GUGGAUUAGAUACCCUAGUAGUCCACGCUGUAAACGAUGAGCACUAAGUGUCGGGAAACCGGUGCUGAAGUUAACACAUUAAGUGCUCCGCCUGAGUAGUACGGUCGCAAGACUGAAACUCAAAGGAAUUGACGGGCACCCGCACAAGCGGUGGAGCAUGCCGUUUAAUUCGACAAUACGCGAAAAACCUUACCAAGACUUGACAUCCCCGGCAAAGCUAUAGAAAUAUAGUGGAGGUUACCCGGGUGACAGGUGGUGCAUGGUUGUCGCCAGCU
rnacentral:rRNA from 1 species